CCCUCGCUCGUGCCGCUGCCUCCCUCUCUGCUGCCUCCGCUCUAAGUUGUUGUUGGAGUUCUUCAUAUUUUCGUUGAACCUCGGCAAUUUGCUCAACCGUGUUCGCUUGCAUCUGAGCUAUCUGGUCUCUUAACCUCUGAACUUCAGCUUGAGCUUGACUUUCGGAAGGCAUGUAUUGCUAGGAGCCGGAUCCAAAAUAUUGGGUCGGGUUAACACCAGAUCCUUGAAAUUGAACCCGACAAUACCUUUCAGGACCCAAAACUUCAGUGAUAAUUCUGUUAUCAAUGUUCUCAAGAUUAACAGAACUAUCAGUCGAAGCAAUCGCAUCAUAUUCGCCUUCUUCUCCUUUAGUUUCUCCUAAAAAAUCAAUUAAAGAGUUAGAAACGAAAUAUAUAAUAAAAAGAAAUGCAACAUAACUUAACAUUAUUUCAAACUACUAAUGAUGAAUUGAAUUAAACAAUUAUAAUUAAACAUUAUAAAUAUUUUGUGACAGCCCUAAAUUGACCCUAGUCGGGAACUGGUUUCGGGACCACAAAACCGAGUCAUAAAAAUAAUUAACCGUUAUUUUCUAUGCUUAUUGUGCGUGAACAUGCAUGUGUGAAAGUUCCAAUCUUUAAUUUAUUCAUUUGAAUGUGAAUUUAUUUAAUAGGACUUAUAUGAGACAUUUUUAAAAUGUGAUAGGUUAAUGUGUAAGGGUCUAUUAAUGCAUGUUAUAAAAGUAUGGACUUGCAUGUCAAAUUGUCCAUUUUAGUUAGUGGCCGGCG
rnacentral:lncRNA from 1 species